rnacentral:misc_RNA from 1 species
GUCGUAACAAGGUAGCCGUAGGGGAACCUGCGGCUGGAUCACCUCCUUUCUAAAGGAAAAAAAACUUUGAACACAGUGUACGUUCAAAGUAACCACCGUCUAUUCGUUUUGCUUUUUUCAACUAUGUUGAUAAAGAGCAUUAAUUGGGCGUGUAGCUCAGUUGGUUAGAGCGCGCGCUUGAUAAGCGUGAGGUCGGAGGUUCAAGUCCUCCCUCGCCCACCAACAAUGUUGGGGGAUUAGCUCAGCUGGGAGAGCGCCUGAUUUGCAUUCAGGAGGUCAGCGGUUCGAUCCCGCUAUCCUCCACCAACUUCUUUAAAAUCGUAAAUAUGUAAGCUGAUAACAACGAAUAACUCUGCACAAGUUGUUCGUUAAAACACAAAUAAAAUAACAACAAAUAACUACAAAAAGUUAUUAACUAACACAAACUCUUCACUGUGUGUUAAUAAUUCAAGCGCGUAAGAGCAUUUGGUGGAUGCCUUGGC